UUAAGUGUGGGUGGUGUUAAAAUGGUGAUUUUGUCAUUAUUUCCUGUCUAGUGCAGACAAAUAGUGAACGUUAACACUUUCACCACCACAACUACGUCACGCACACUCUUGGAGUAGGCUGCGUUCGUGACAGCUUUACUUACCUUUCAGGACCUUGCUGUGGAUGAGUUCCCAGGACAGCUGCUGGGUCCUCAGAUUUCACAUUGGACUUGCUGAUGAUCUUAGCCAGGGAGGCAAGGCAGGGGGCUGAGCCAAACGCCACGCUGGCCAAUCAGCAUCUCCUCAAAGAGAUGCACUGAAUCAAAAUUUAAAGCAGCACUGUCAUGCCG